UGUGCGACCUACAUUUCAGGUGCUUUUUUCAACAAAAGCUCAAAAGGGAACCUCGUGUAAGUCGAGGACGGGCCCGCCGCUGUAACCGGGUACAGAUUUCACGUAUCGCCACUGGGACAUUGUCCUGGGAAGGUGUGGAAGAUGGACGAUCCGGGAGUCAGAAGACCUGCCUGAGAUGACGGUACCGG
rnacentral:ncRNA from 2 species